GUGGGGAAUAUUGGACAAUGGGGGCAACCCUGAUCCAGCCAUGCCGCGUGAGUGAAGAAGGCCUUCGGGUUGUAAAGCUCUUUUGGCGGGGACGAUGAUGACGGUACCCGCAGAAUAAGCCCCGGCUAACUUCGUGCCAGCAGCCGCGGUAAGACGAAGGGGGCUAGCGUUGUUCGGAAUUACUGGGCGUAAAGGGCGCGUAGGCGGUUUGUUAAGUCAGGCGUGAAAGCCCUGGGCUCAACCUGGGAUGUGCGUUUGAUACUGGCAAGCUUGAGUGCAGGAGAGGAUGGUGGAAUUCCCAGUGUAGAGGUGAAAUUCGUAGAUAUUGGGAAGAACACCGGUGGCGAAGGCGGCCAUCUGGACUGCAACUGACGCUGAGGCGCGAAAGCGUGGGGAGCAAACAGGAUUAGAAACCCUAGUAGUCC
rnacentral:rRNA from 1 species